ACUCAAUGAUGAACAUAAAAAAGACAAGCAUAUGGCUGAACUUAAAAAAGUGAUGUCAUCUUCCUGCUGAGAAGU